rnacentral:lncRNA from 1 species
GCCUUCCGGCAGGGAAAGUUGGUAGCUUGCCUGGAACUUUUGAGAGCACCGUCUCCCCGGACCAUGAGGUACAGCCUCCUCCUCUGUAGGCCGCCACGUUAAACACAGCAACUUCCUGCAAAGGAGAACAUCAGCAGAAACAGCUAAGCUCAGUGAUAGGAAGUGCAACAAUGCAAGGCAGUAAAACCAAGCCGAAGGCAACGGUUUGGAAAGGCACUGAUGUUGUCAA